ACAUUUUGCCAUGACUUAUGCCAUGUUAAAGAUGUAAAGUCACACGUAUAGAGGACCUGCGUGGUUCUGGUACAGGUUCCGACCGACAUUUUCGCUUAUACAAUCGACCUGUGGACACCAUAGAUCGCAAUGGCUUGAAUCGAGCGGUAACGCGGGUUCAUAACGACUCAUUAGUGUAUCUCUUCCGCCUGUGUGAUUUUAGGACAGAGAGGAAGAGGAAUAGAGAUGCCCAACUCGGCGGAAAGAUGUCUCAUUUCAGUCCACAAUGAUGUCAACCGGUGAUUUGAAAGGAUGUCUUCGGAAGCUGGAUGCUCAACUACGGGCAUUGAAGUACCCAAGAGAGGUCGACUAUAAUGACUUGGCCAAAGGGGAUCCUUCUGCCUUUCUCCCCAUAGUGAGUUAUGCAUUCAUCUCCUAUUCACCACACCUUGCUGAACACCUGGUGGGCUUCGGAGUGGAACUCACUGGGAAGAACGACCUACGUUUUAUCGAAUGCAUCUACAAGGUAUUGCGGGAUCUCUUCCACUACAAACCUGUCCUGACCAAGCAGCAGUUCCUCCAGUUUGGCUAUGCAGAAAGAAAGACCUGCAUCCUCUGUGAUGUCAUCGCCUUGGCCCUGCAGAAACACAAAGAGCUCAGCAAAGGCAACAAGCCAAAGCCGAGAGCUCGUUUUCAGGCCUCGAGUUCAGACUCCAAACGUGAGGCUCUCCCAUUUCAGGCUGAAACAAUGAACCCCAUGGCCACCACAUUGUCCCUAAGCAGGCCACUAGUGGAGAGACACAUCGGUGGUGACUCCUGGGUCUCCUCUAGUAGAACCUCAGAUAAUGAAGAGUCUGAGGAAGAGGAGGAGGGGCUGGGACUGGAGGAGGUCCAGAACCAAGCACCUACAGUCCCUCAAACAGACCUGGUGGUGGAGGGGAGGCUGGCAGAGCUGGAGGCCCAGCUGCUACAGGUCCAGACCAGGCUGGGGAGGCUCUCGGCCCUGGAGCAGAGGCUGGAGCUUCUAGAGAAGGCCUCGACCGGGAGGAUCACUAUAGACAAGCACCAGUGGGAGAACCUGGAGAGCAGAGUGCUACUGCUGGAGACCAGACUGACCCUCGCCACGGCCCAGGAGUCGUCACUUAUCAAUGGAGGUUGGAGUCAUCACAUGGCGGAUAAUGCAACAGAAGUCACUGAGUCAAGACCCAGUCCUCCAGAGAGCCUCCUACACAACUCUGGCUGUGAGCGUCCUCAGUCCUCCACCCCUUCUGCUAGCUAUCCCAUCAGCCCCUGUGUGACAACGGCACCCCCAGAGGUAAUGGCAGAUAUUACAAGUAAAUAUAAUGGAAACAUUAGAAGACUAUUUGGGCUGGAUUCAAUCUGUAGUAUCGUGAAAGAGCCACGUUAUAGGUCGAUUUGAAAUUUUGAAGGCAAUGUUCGAGGAGACUUCAUUCACGGUAAACUCUGCAUAUGCCGACUCCAUUGGAAAUUACCUUCGAAUUUUUACGCGGAUCUUCCGCAAUAAGGAUUAAAUCAAGCCCUUUGUUUUUCAUUCAGUCUUGACUCAUUUUCUGUAGGAGAAUAUGAAAGAGAGAUUGGAAAGGAUAGCCAACAUGAUGAAAGACACUUCCAGCCUUUUAAGAAGUAUAGAACCCUCAAUGUAAAUUCAGACUUUAAAAAAAUAUAUUUUUGUAAUUGUUCUCUGGAUUAGUAUGUGAGUGAUGAAUAAAGGUAUCAUGGAUAAAUAUCAA